GACAGAGGGUGCAAACGUUGUUCGGAAUUACUGGGCGUAAAGCGCGUGUAGGCGGCUGCGCAAGUCGGAUGUGAAAUCCCAUGGCUCAACCAUGGAAGUGCACCCGAAACUGCGCAGCUUGAGUCUCGGAGAGGAAGGCGGAAUUCCAGGUGUAGCGGUGAAAUGCGUAGAUAUCUGGAGGAACACCGGUGGCGAAGGCGGCAUCCUGGACCGACACUGACGCUGAGGAGCGAAAGCCAGGGGAGCAAACGGG
rnacentral:rRNA from 1 species